AGCUAGCAUACUGCGAUGGUGUCCUUCAAGGCCAAUCAAACUAGAGUGACUGAGCGAAAUCGUACCAGUGGUGAUCAUACUCCUAACGCCUCAAAGCCGUCGGUCUUCUACUCGCGCACGGUGACGACUGGCACUCCCUUCAUGAACUCCCUCUUCCUCCUUCCCAAAACCCUAGCUUUCGCCCCGAAUCCCUCGUCCUCAUCGUCCUCCAAACCAAAUUCCCAUUCCUCUUCGGCCGAUGGAAUCCCAAUUACAAGUUCUAGUCGUCGCGGAAAUCCUCUUAAGCCAUCGCUGCUCGAGCAGAGACCUCUUCUCAGGUUGUGGUUGCACGAUUGCUGCCAUCUUUUGAUUUCCAGCGUCAUUGGGCUCUCCUGUGCCCUGUCUCUUCAUCCCGCUGUGGCCGAUGCCAUUCGUCCACAGAUUCCGUCGGUCUACCCAUGCGAAGAUGUCGACAGUUACUAUAAUGGUGUUAGUGUGUUACAAGGCGUUGCAUUGAUGAAGAAGCUCAAUUCCAUUGUCUCUCCCCACCAGUCACUAACUUACAGAGAGGUUUGGGAUGCGCUCAAGAUUCUUGAUGCAGUUGAUGUGGAGAACCCAGAAGCCUCCUCCGAAAUAAUCGAGAUAUACUCAUUGAGAGCUGUCCCAAAAUCAUUGGCAGGAAAGCCAGAAGGAUGGAACAGAGAACAUUUAUGGCCUCGUUCUUAUGGCUUAAGAGAUGGAACAUCUUUAACUGAUUUACAUAACAUCCGUCCCGCAGAUGUCAAUGUGAACUCAUCUAGGGGAAACAAGUACUACGGUGAAUGUGUUUCUGUAUCAACUCACUGUUCAAGACCAGCAAAUAAUGAAGCUGCUCCUGACACUGAGACAGAUAAGAAAAGAUGGGCACCACCUAGACAGGUUAGGGGAGAUAUAGCAAGAUCACUGAUGUAUAUGGCUGUCUCUUAUGGAUUUCAACAGCCUGAUGGGAGGCUGCCUCUACUACUUUCUGAUUCACCAAAUAUUGAAAAACAUGAGAUGGGCCUCCUUUCAACAUUACUACAGUGGAACAAAUUUGAUCCACCUUCAAGAAUGGAGCAGUUGAGAAAUGACAGAAUAUGCAAGUUAUACCAGCACAACAGGAAUCCAUUUAUUGAUCAUCCAGAAUAUGCCAAUUUCAUAUGGAAGAAUGUUACUUCAAGCAAUCUUACUAGGUAACAUCCCAAUUUGAAGGCUUGGAUAAAUGAGUUCCAUUAUGACAAUAAAGGCAAAAAUCAUAAUGAGGGUUUCUGUUAAACAUGAUAGACAAAAUGCUAUUUCAACAAUACUAGAAAAAAAAUAAUUUGGCAGAACUUGGAAUGUGGAUUGGGAUUGCCAGAAGUUUCAUUUUGUCAAGCUGCAAAAGCUACAGCAGCUGGAUGAUCCGAUUAACAACAGCGAUUCAUGUUUGACAUGCAGAGCAGCCAUUUCCUAAUCAUGUUGUUUUGUCAAAAAAAAAAAAACAUGUUUUUUCCUCUUUCUAUGCAAUUGCAACAGCAGCAAUUCCUCAUGUUACAUUAUAAACUUAAUUAUGUAUGUCAUUGCAGUUCAUUGAGAUUCUCA